CUAAAUCUACUGCUAUCCUUUUCCACGGGGAACAUUAUGAGAAGGAUAGCAAUACGUUUAGAUCUGUCAUUUUAAUUUAGUUUAGAGAUUGUGU